AGAGACAGCAGCAGCCGCGGUAAAACGAGGGGGGCAAGCGUUGUUCGGAUUUAUUGGGCGUAAAGGGUGCGUAGGCGGUUUGGCAAGUCUUGUGUGAAAUCUUCGGGCUCAACCCGAAGCCUGCACGAGAAACUACCGGGCUUGAGUAUUGGAGAGGUGAGUGGAAUUUCCGGUGUAGCGGUGAAAUGCGUAGAGAUCGGAAGGAACAUCAGUGGCGAAGGCGGCCAUCUGGGACAACACUGACGCUGAAGCACGAAAGCGUGGGGAGCAAACAGGAUUAGAUACCCCGGUAGUCCCUGUCUCUUAUAC
rnacentral:rRNA from 1 species